rnacentral:rRNA from 1 species
GGUGAACGCUGGCGGCGUGGAUGAGGCAUGCAAGUCGAAUGGGUUUAGACCCAUGGCAGACGAGGUAGGAACACGUAGGUACAUACCCCAAAGUCAAGGAUACUCCGGUGAAAAUCGGCAUAAUACUUGAUAGUCUCUUCGGAGUAAAGAUUUAUCGCUUUGGGAAUGGCCUGCGUUCUAUCAGCUUGAUGGUAAGGUAACGGCUUACCAUGGCUACGACGGAUAGGGGAGGUGAGAGCCUGACCCCCACCGAUGGAACUGAGACACGGUCCAU